rnacentral:rRNA from 1 species
CGUGCUAAUCUGCGAUAAGCGCCGGUAAGGUGAUAUGAACCGUUAUAACCGGCGAUACCCGAAUGGGGAAACCCAGUGUGAUUCGUCACACUAUCAUUAACUGAAUCCAUAGGUUAAUGAGGCGAACCGGGGGAACUGAAACAUCUAAGUACCCCGAGGAAAAGAAAUCAACCGAGAUUCCCCCAGUAGCGGCGAGCGAACGGGGAGGAGCCCAGAGCCUGAAUCAGCAUGUGUGUUAGUGGAAGCGUCUGGAAAGGCGCGCGAUACAGGGUGACAGCCCCGUACACAAAAGCGCAUGUGCUGUGAGCUCGAUGAGUAGGGCGGGACACGUGGUAUCCUGUCUGAAUAUGGGGGGACCAUCCUCCAAGGCUAAAUACUCCUGACUGACCGAUAGUGAACCAGUACCGUGAGGGAAAGGCGAAAAGAACCCCGGCGAGGGGAGUGAAAAAGAACCUGAAACCGUGUACGUACAAGCAGUGGGAGCACCCUUUGGGGUGUGACUGCGUACCUUUUGU